UGCGUAGGUGGCGAGGUAAGUCGGAUGUGAAAGCUCGGAGCUCAACUCCGAAAUGGCAUUGGAAACUACCUUGCUCGAGGGAUGGAGGGGGGACUGGAAUUCUCGGUGUAGCAGUGAAAUGCGUAGAUAUCGAGAGGAACACCAGUGGCGAAGGCGAGUCCCUGGACAUCUCCUGACACUGAGGACAAAGACUAGGGGAGCAAACA
rnacentral:rRNA from 1 species